CUUCCUAGGCCUGCGUUCGCGUCCGCAAACUCCCGCCUCCUUGCGCUCCCCCCGCCCGGGAGCUUCACGUGCGCCUUGGCGGCCGCGGGGGCAGGUCCGGGCUGGACGCCUGGCGGAGGACGCGGGCAGGUGGCUUGUGGGAGGCUGGGGCAUAGUUGAGCUGCAAGGCGCAAACCGAUGAGGGGCGUCUGCUUUUCACCAGGGCGCCGUCGCUUUUGUCGGGAAACCGGCAGCGUAGGCGCGCAGACCGGGAAGCGGCAAGAAGAUUUGGCCACGAGCUGGGGUCUUCCUGGAACGGAGAGAAAGCACGGAACCCGCACCGGGCUUCUCUGGCAUCGGCAGUCUACGUGCUCCUCGCGCUGGCACCGAGCAGCCACUCCCCGCUGGGUUUGGCAAAGGCUGCUCUUGUAGAAUUUUAAAGGAUUUAGAGUCUCAUUAUUCCUUGAAUCAUAACUUCUGCGGCCGUAGGGAAGUGGACAGGUUGAGGUGGUCUUUCUAUUCGUCAUUCACUCUUAUUUGCAGGUUCUGUUUCAUGUACUUGGACGUCUUUUAGCCUCUCACACCUUGAAAUUCUAGUGUGAAAAAGUGACCUCUGAAGUCUCACGCACUCAACUCGUUUGACGAACUCGUUUGACGUGUUCUCUCUUGCCCUUUGUUGUCUGUUGUCUUGAGUCUCAUAGAAUAGGUUUGAACCUUUCACUGUCGGUUUUGUAGGAGUCACUGAGGAUAUUGACGAGGCAAGUGACAGGGUCGACACUCUUGUAGAGAGGCUGUAUAGCAACCAGGUGUCUGAAGGAUUAGAGGCUGGGGAAAGAGUGGGAAAGCAGUUAGUAGGCUAGGGUAUUUGUGCGUGAGGUGAGGAGACUCAGAGCUAGGGGAGACAUUAGAGCAGGGGUUGGCAAACAUUUUUUGUAAAGGGCCCGAUCAUAUUUUAAGUCUCUGCCUUAACUACUCAGCUCUACCUUGUAACGAGAAAGCAGCCAUAGACAAUACUUGAAUGAGUGUAGCUGUCUUCAGUAAAACUAUGGACAUUGAAUUUUUAAUAUAAUUUCAGGUAUGAAAUAUUCUUUUGAUUUUUAAGAAAAUCAUUGAAAUAUGUAAAUUUUUUUUUUUUUAGUUCUGGAGAGGUGCAAAAACAACUUAUAAGCCAUAUUGCUGAGCCCUGCAUUAGAGGUACCUGAGGGAGAGCGACACAAUUGGUAGUAAAUGACCAUAUACUCUAUCCUUCAAUAUGGAACACUUUUGGAAGUAAAGUAGGGCAUUAAUAAUUAUAGCCAGAGACCAGGAGUUAUAUCAGUUUUAUCCCAGGCAAACCUAAAGGAAUAGUCACCUUAAGGUUAAGGGUUAGGAGAAGUCAAAAUUGCUUUAGGACUUGGUAACAGAAAAUGGGAGGUGCCAGUGAUGGAAAUAGGAAGAUAAAGAAGAAACUGGUUUUGAGGAGAAGAUAGCUGUAGCAGUCCCAAGAGCUGUAUACAGUUGAGACAACAUUGAUAGGAAGGAAGAAAGCACCCCAGAAGCAGGCCACUCCUUAUAUCUUAUUGACCAGAACUGGGCUAUUAGCUGUCCCUAAAGCAGUAACAGACAAGGAGCAUGGGACAUCCAUGAUUGCCUAGUGUUUAUCUGGCUUUUUUAAUUCUUAUUCAGGACUGUGUUGAGCAUUGCUGGACAUUUACCAUCUCUGGUUCCUUCCAGCUAAAUGUCAGUACCACACCUCAGGCAUUGUGACACCGUAAAUCAACCGUUUUUCCCUCCCACCCCCCAGAGGUGUGGUACUGGUUGAGAACCAGUAGCUUAGACCCUCAGGAUUUACCUUGGGGCUGAAUUAGUGUGUGUAGGUUUCUUUUCCAGUUGGUUUGGAGGGAAGAGAGGAAUUGGACAGUAUUAAAGUUCUGCUGUCAAGGAAGUGGGCUGGGGAAUGUUGGGUAGCUAACCAACAUUGGCUGCCACGUGAAGUAAAAAAGUUUUCCUUUAUAUCCUUGAUAAAAUAGUGUCUCGACUUCUUCACACUUGAAGCCUUCCCAAAACCCCAGCUUUUUUGAUUCUCAUUGUAAGCCCCUUGAACUGGACUAGUUGGAAGUUCUUAUUUUCCACCCUAAGUAACAAGCUCUUGUCCCAAUAGGAUACUCUUGCUUUGAGUACUGCAAUAACUUUCCAAUUGGUGACUUGCCGUCAGUCUUUUCCUAUUUCAUUCCUACACGAAGAGACUAGAACUGUGUUCUGAUUUCCUUUGCUCAGACACCAAUCUCCAGGGGUGCUCUGUAAUUUGAAGAGGACAACUCAGAAAGCACUCAAGGGCCUCCAUAAGUCCCUGAGUGGCUUCCCUGCCUUCCCGUUCCCCAGCAAACAAUCCCUUGGAUACCCUCUAUUAAAUGAUACGUUUCCCCUUACAAUACCUAGUCCCUUGCCCCAUAUAUGCUAUGUGUAUUGCACAGUCUAGGACUUGACUCAUGCUGUUUCCUCACGGAGCAUGCCCUUCUUAUUUCUAACCAUACAAAUUCCAUGACCUAUCCAUUCUUUCAAUUCUACUUCCACCUGAGGCCUCUAUCAGCCCACAUUAACCUACCUUCUUUGAAUUUCUGUGUGUUCCUUACCUGUACCACCCAUUUUGGCCUUUUAUUUUAUGCUCUUCUUGACUAUUCUGUUAUUGAAACUGUCCUUUAGAUCCCAAGAUUUCUACUUUUUCCCUGCGGAUGCUUUUUUAUUUUUUUUAUUUUUGACUUCUUUCUACCCUCCUUUUCCUCUUACAUCCCUGCUUUGCCUAGAGGACAUCUACAAGAAUCGUCAUGUACAUUCUUUUCUCCUGUUGUUAGCUUUUUUCCCCUGACACUUCAUCUAUUUACUGAUUUACUUGUAAAUCUCUGGAAGAUAUUAGUACUAGCCACCAAAUAUUUCUAUUUCUUUUUCCACACACGUAGAUUUGGAUUUCCCUACUCCUUUUACCUCAAGAAUGGCCAAUGAAAUGUGAUUGGAAGUGACUUGUGUCAUUUCCAAAUAAAAGCUUUAAGAGCCUGUGGACAUUUAUCCUGCGCUGUUUCUUCCUGCCAACAGUGAUGAAAUAUUUUAAUUAUCUAUUGUCCCAUGACAAAGCACCUUAAAUCUUAAUGGUUUAAAACAGUCACCAUUUUAUUAUGUGUAACAGUUUUGUGGGUUGACUAGGCUCAUGGGCAGUUGUCUAAUCUUGCUCAGGGUCUCUCAUGUGGUUCCAGCCUGGUAUUGUUUGGGGCUGGAGUUUUUGGAGGCUCAACUAGGUUGCUAGAGUAGCUGAGCUUUUCUAUUUACCCAUGCCGUUCCAAAGACUCUCUGAUUCACAUGGCUUCUUCAGCAGAGUAGCCUGACUUCUUUCUUGCAUGGUGGCUUAGGAUUCUCAAAUGCAAUAAAAGCAAAAACUUCGAGGUUUUGUAAGUCUUAGGUCUGGAAAUGACAUGUUGUAUUGGUAAAAGCAGUUACAGGGCCAGCUCAAUUUUAAGGGGAGAGGAAAUAAACACUUGAUAGGGGUGGAGGGAGAGUGACAAAGAAUUUGUGGCCAUCUUUAUUACAAAAAUUUUUGUCAACCACAGAGUUACAGGAAAAUGUGGCCAUCUUUAAUCACUACUCCAACGAUGUUUCAAAUUGAGUGGGCUUCCAUCAGCCAGGGUCUCGGAGACAGGACAAAGUGGAAAACAGCUCCCAAAUAACAUACCUAGGGCAUUUUGGGGACAGACUCUACAGUUUACUAGUGGCCCCAGGACAUCCUGCAAAAGAGGUGAAAUCAGUAUUGGAGAAGUGGUCUCAUGAAGAUGGGAGCACGACUACUACAAUUGACUGCUGACUUCUCACCCAAGGAAGUAACUGUAUCCCAGCCUAAUCUCAGUGGAUAAGCCCACAGGGUUAAGGUCCUCACAACAUUGUGCAACAAGUGUGAAAGAUGUAGUCUCCAUUUACGGCUACUGAAAUAGGCUGAGAGAGGAGAUGUUCAAGAAAAAGAACAACUUCAGUGGAAGAAGAAGAAGAUAGGAGCCCAGGUCCUGUGUUUCACCAAGACAGCCGUGCAAAGCAGAUGCUGCCAAAAAGGUGCAAAGUGGUUUGUCAGCUCUUCUGCAUGUUCUAACAAAUUAGACAUGCAUCCCAAAAGGUUUCCUAGACUUUCCAUCACCACCAGUGAAUUCUGAGUGACAAUAGUGUGGAAUUUGGAAGAAUGGAAGAGAAACUGAAGUGGAGAGAUGGUGAAAGAGAAGAAAAAAUGAAGAAAGAUGCUUGCAAAAAUACUGCUGUGGGUCCUGAGAUGAGGAUUCUGGGAGGGCUGAAAUGGAUGCCCCUGACAGCUCCCUUUGAGUUCCUGUUCAUCUGAAGUACACCAGCUUUCUAGAUAUGCUGUCACUUUCCUUCUGCAGAGCCACAGUGGUGUCCUGUCUUCUCAGACCUCUUCUCACCUCAAAUCACUUAGGACUCGGCCACCAGACAGAUUUGGGAUUUCAGAACUUUUCAGAUGUUAGAAAGUUCUUUUCUAAAUGUGAUGAGGAAUUACGGAAUCAUAAAAUGGAAGCAGAGUUAAACUCAGACAUGUGGGCACUCAAGGCAAUUAGGAGCUUUCUGCGAUGAGAAAGGGAUCAGACUGAUCCUUAAGACUUUAUGCAACCCCAGAGUAUUGCAGCCACCUGCAUGCCGAAGGUGUCAAGAGUGUUCUCACUGCUGCCUAUAGGAGGGUCUUCAGCCUCCAGUGAUCCAAAGUACCAGGCUGACCUGUGACUGCUUCGGCCAACUGAAUAGGGAAGAGUGAUGCUGUGCUGUUUCCAGGCCUGUUCUUUAAAAGUACUUGGAAGCUUCUGCCUUGGCCUCUUUGUGCCUGAGUUGCUGUAUAAGAAUCUGACUACCUUGCUGGAGAGACCUUGUGGAGAAGACUUGACCUUAUAUGCAGAGGUAGAGGGGCCCUGGUUAGUCCAGCCAUCUAGCCAUCCUGUCAAAAUAGCAGGAGUAUGAUGGCCAAUGGAUCCAAAACCUAUCCUAUAUCUACAUGUUGGUGGCCACAUUAAUCUGACAUCUGACAGCAAGAGCGAUGAUUGGGUUCACUGGAAAUCUUUGUGAAGUACGAGUGAAGUCCUUGUGAAGUCAGAGUUUCCUCUUCAUGCCUCUACUCCUAUGCAGUUUGACCUCUCAGUGUGCAGCUGGUGAUAGAUGGAAACCCUUGUUCAUAAGCUUUGUGGCACUGUCGGCAGGAUGAGGGGACUUCUGGAUCCUCACUGGUCACUGUGGCAGAGUGGUUGGUGUUGUCUGCUCCCUAGACAGGAACCCACUGAAGAAUCUGACAUUUUUUGAUAUGCUGGCAUUCAUUGUUACAGCCCAUCAUCCCAGCCAUCAAUCCAGGACAUGGGGUCUGUGCCCACGGUGGGAAGGAGGAGGGGGAAGCUGGCUUUGUUCUGACGUUGGGCUUCUUCUGCUCCACCAGUACUUUCUGUGGGGGAAAUAGGUAAAGAAAUGGCUGUUCAGAUGAGAAGAUGUGUCAGUAAACUUUUGCUACAGUGAUGCUGCAAAACAAAUCACUGGUGACUUUCAGUGGCACACAGCAAUAAACAUUUAUUUAGCUCAGGGAUUGACAAUCUUUUUUUUUUUUUAAAGGGCCAAAUAGUAAAUAUUUUAGGUGUUUCAGGCCAUACAGUCUCUGAACUCUGAACUUGUAGCACAACAGUAGCCUUAGAUGCUAUGCAAAUGGAGGAGCAUGACUGUGUUCCAAUAAAACUUUAUUUAUGGACACUAAAAUUGGAAUUUCAUGGAAUUUUUAUAUGUUAAGAAAUAUUAUACUUUGAUUUUUUUCAAC
rnacentral:lncRNA from 1 species